CCUACGGGAGGCAGCAGUGGGGAAUAUUGGGCAAUGGGCGCAAGCCUGACCCAGCAACGCCGCGUGAAGGAAGAAGGCUUACGGGUUGUAAACUUCUUUUAAGAGGGAAGAGAAGAAGACGGUACAUCUUGAAUAAGCCACGGCUAACUACGUGCCAGCAGCCGCGGUAAUACGUAGGUGGCAAGCGUUGUCCGGAUUUACUGGGUGUAAAGGGCGUGCAGCCGGGCUGACAAGUCAGAUGUGAAAUCCCGGGGCUCAACCGCGGAACUGCCUUUGAAACUGUCAGUCUUGAGUAGCAGAGAGGUCAGCGGAAUGCCUGGUGUAGCGGUGAAAUGCAUAGAUAUAAGGAAGAACACCAGUUGCGAAGGCGGAUGGCUGG
rnacentral:rRNA from 1 species